CUAUGGGGCGCUGCAGUGGGGAAUAUUGGACAAUGGGGGAAACCCUGAUCCAGCAAUGCCGCGUGUGUGAAGAAGGCCUGCGGGUUGUAAAGCACUUUCGGUUGGGAGGACUGCUUCUAGCACUAAUAUUGUUGGAAGUUGACGUUACCUUCAGAAGAAGCACCGGCUAACUCCGUGCCAGCAGCCGCGGUAAUGCGGAGGGUGCAAGCGUUAAUCGGAAUUACUGGGCGUGAAGCGCGCGUAGGCGGCUAGAUCAGUCGGGUGUGAAAGCCCCGGGCUUAACCUGGGAACUGCAUCCGAUACUGUCUAGCUUGAGUACAGGAGAGGAGAGUGGAAUUCCACAUGUAGCGGUGAAAUGCGUAGAUAUGUGGAGGAACACCAAUGGCGAAGGCAGCUCUCUGGCCUGAUACUGACGCUGAGGUGCGAAAGCGUGGGGAGCAAACAGGAUUAGAUACCCCUGUAGUC
rnacentral:rRNA from 1 species